rnacentral:misc_RNA from 1 species
UCUCCGUUGGUGAACCAGCGGAGGGAUCAUUACAGAGUUUUCUAACUCCCAAACCCUUUGUGAACUUACCUUAUUGUUGCCUCGGCGCAAGCUACCCGGGACCUCGCGCCCCGGGCGGCCCGCCGGCGGACAAACCAAACUCUGUUAUCUUCGUUGAUUAUCUGAGUGUCUUAUUUAAUAAGUCAAAACUUUCAACAACGGAUCUCUUGGUUCUGGCAUCGAUGAAGAACGCAGC